rnacentral:rRNA from 1 species
AAAGGGCAUGCAGGCGGUCGGGCGCGUUUUGUGUGACAGCGGGUGGCUUAACUACCCGAGGAUACGAAAGACGGCCUGACUUGAGGGCUCGAGAGGGACACGGAAUUCCGGGUGGAGUGGUGAAAUGCGUAGAGAUCCGGAGGAACACCGAAGGCGAAGGCAGUGUCCUGGCGAGUGACUGACGCUGAGGUGCGAAAGCCAGGGGAGCGAACGGGAUUAGAUACCCGAGU